CAUCAUGAACUUUCCAGUGUGCUUCUUAGAACAGAGCACGCAGUUUCUUUGUGGUCCUGGCACGGAUAUUCUUGAGCCAACGCUGGCUUUUGUCCAUGACCAACGUUCUGCUCCAUCCUUAUCUUCCCGACGUAAGCUCAUCCAGCUUCUGCUUCAUCCUUCGUACACAAAAAGACAACUUGUCUUACUUCACUAAACACUUCAGUGGUCGCUUCCGUGCCGCUGUUACACCUGCAGUCACUCACCACGGGAUUAUGGCCAGGUAAUGCAGAGGAGAGGAGACGUCGAGAAGAUGGACAGCAAAAC